rnacentral:lncRNA from 1 species
CGGGCUACUACUCUGUGGAGAAUGGGUUCUAUUUUUUUCAGUUAGGCAACCAAAGAGGAAGAGACACUUUUGUCUUUUAUCCAGUGAGUCUAAGAACACAGGGAAGGACUCUGACUAGCCCAGUUUGGAUUAUGUACCAAUUGUGGGACCAAUCAUCUCUAGAGAGGUGUUUAUUACGGAAUCGGUGGCCCUAGGAGAACCACAUGGAGUGGGGAAAAAGAGAGUGCUCUGAAGCACCCAGAAGAAAGCCAUGCCUUGGCAGAGAAAGCAAGAGUUGUUUACAACUGUAGAUCUAAAGGUCUAAAUUACACAAAAUUGAGUUGGGAACAGCAAAAGAAAAGAAUACCAUGGGCGAUAAUAGGAAAAAGAAGCAAUGAAGAAGGAAGGAGUUAAGAGGAUCGCUGCAUUGUGUAGCAGGCAGAUAAUGAAGAGUUUCUCCUCCAGCAAUGGUUGUCAAACUUUGGCACGCAUCAGAACCACCUGGAAGUCUUCUUCAAACCCAGAUUGCUCUACUCCACCCCCAGAGUUUCUGAUUCAGCAAGUCUGAGAUGGAGCCUGAGAAUUUGCAUUUCUCAGGUCUCAAGUAAUGCUGAUUCUGCUGAUUCUCAGGACCACACUGAGAACCACUGACCUACAGCACCUCUUGCCAUGAUCAAGUGGAAAAACCUAUGACUUGAGAAUCAGCACUCUGGGGCUUUCAGUUACUACUAGUUGUAUGACAUUCCUCCUUUCCUCUUUUCCUUUCUUCCUUCCAUAAACAUUCACAGAGCACCUACCAUGGGCCAGGCACUGUGAUAGAAGCUGGGGAUAAAAAAACCCCAAAAACAAAAAACCAAAACGAAAACCUUCUGCUGUUAGUGAGUUUACAGUCGAGGGAGAAUCUUUGGCAAGUUACUUAAUCUAACUUAAUCUAACUAUUCCAUAGAUAAGCAACCCAAAAUGUAGAGCAGUCACAAGUUUGCCUGGGCUGGAAAGUAGCUCCGAGGGACUUGAACUCAGUUCCUUGUUUCCCGUUUCAGAGUCUUUCAUCUAUAUACCAUUUGGAACUAAAUUUUCUCCAAAGUCCCUUCAUGCUCUUUUCAUAAGUGAUUUUGUGAUAAAUAUUGGUUGAAUUAAAAGGUGAUCACUUUUUACCUAUUGUUCCAAAGCUGUGGGUAAUACUUUUAGAUAAGCAUUGGAAAAUCACUGAACGUUGUUGACAAUGCAAGUCAGAAAAUAUUUAUUGAGUAUCUGAUACAUAAUAG